UACGAAGGGGGCUAGCGUUGUUCGGAUUUACUGGGCGUAAAGCGCACGUAGGCGGAUCGUUAAGUCGGGGGUGAAAUCCUGGAGCUCAACUCCAGAACUGCCUUCGAUACUGGCGAUCUUGAGUCCGGAAGAGGUGAGUGGAACUCCUAGUGUAGAGGUGGAAUUCGUAGAUAUUAGGAAGAACACCAGUGGCGAAGGCGGCUCACUGGUACGGUACUGACGCUGAGGUGCGAAAGCGUGGGGAGCAAACAGG
rnacentral:rRNA from 1 species